rnacentral:rRNA from 1 species
AUCAGGUAGGACUACCCGCUGAACUU